CUGUAAGCCUGUGAAGGUGGCCUGUGAGGGUUGCUGGAGGUAUCAGAAGUGCGAAUGCUGACAUAAGUAACGAUAAAGCGGGUGAAAAGCCCGCUCGCCGGAAGACCAAGGGUUCCUGUCCAACGUUAAUCGGGGCAGGGUGAGUCGACCCCUAAGGCGAGGCCGAAAGGCGUAGUCGAUGGGAAACGGGUUAAUAUUCCCGUACUUGGUGUUACUGCGAAGGGGGGACGGAGAAGGCUAUGUUGGCCGGGCGACGGUUGUCCCGGUUUAAGCGUGUAGGUGUGUGUUCCAGGUAAAUCCGGUU
rnacentral:rRNA from 4 species